CUUUUAUUAUAUCCCCAGGACAUAUCACAGUAACUAGAAUAUUUAUUAAUAGCAGGGGGAAAGGGGCUGACUAUUCUUUCAAUUCCCUCCUCUGAAACAUAGUGAUGCAUGACUGUGAAUAAGUCACUUAACCUUAAUAAAAGCUUGUUGAUUUCACUUGACUUGACUAUCUUUGGGAAGAACUAGAAAAUGUUUGGUAGAUAACGAGUGGCAGAUUUAGGCUGAAGACAAAAUUCUUAAUAAUAGUAUCCAUUCCCAUGUGGAAUGUUCUGCCUCGAGAAACAAUGAAUUCUCCAUCUAUGGAAGAUUCUGUUUGGAAUCUGGACAAGCAACCACUAGUCAGGGACUUUGUCUAGGGGAUUCUUGUUCUGGGAUAUGUUGAAAGAAAGUAGACCUGGAUAACCUCUGAGGUUCCUUUCAAACUUUGUGGCUGGCUAAGGGGAAAAAACGAAAAUAAAAAUUCAAGAGCUAUCCAGAAAUGAAAUGGAGCCCCUCCAGGUUGUUCCAACUUCAUGGUAGUUGUCUUGCCCCAUUGAGAAUGACUCCACCUUGAGACUGACCAGAUGACUUGUCCAGAUCUGCCAUAUAUUCAGAAAUUUCAGCCACCUUCUUCCAUCUCUGCUCUGCUCUGCUCCAACCCUACACUAGUUAGCCCUCUCUCUUGGAAACAGCCCCCCACUUCUCUUUUCUUACAUUGUCCUUCAUUAGAAUGGAAGUUCCUCAAUACACUUGAUCCAGUCCCUGGCACAUAGCAGACAUUUAGUUGUUUAUUGAUUAACUGACUGUAAGUAAAGGGCUGGGGAGAUAAAGACCACUAGUUCUUUAAAUCUGUUUUUCUCUCAUCACACUGGAUAUGAUAGAGUAUCUCCUUUUUAUAACCAAACCAAAGGGGUAACAAGGGGACUCAAUGGAUUGAGAGCUAGGAUUGGAGAUGGGAGGUCCUGGGUUCCAAUCUGCCCUUGGAGAAUUCUUAGCUGUGUGAUCAUGGGAAAAUCACUUAAUCCCAUUUGCCUAGCCCUUACUGCUCUUCUGCCUGAGAACCAAUAUUUAGUAUUGAUUCUAAUAUAGAAGGUAAGGGUUUAAAACAAAUAAACAAUCAAAGUAAACCA
rnacentral:lncRNA from 1 species